AUUGAACGCUGGCGGCAGGCCUAACACAUGCAAGUCGAGCGGUUGAGGUAGCUUGCUACCGAAGCAGCGGCGAACGGGUGAGUAAUACAUGGGAAUCUGCCUGGUAGUGGGGGACAACGUUUCGAAAGGAACGCUAAUACCGCAUACGCCCUACGGGGGAAAGGGGGGGAUCUUCGGACCUCUCGCUAUCAGAUGAGCACAUGUCAGAUUAGCUAGUUGGUAGGGUAAAGGCCUACCAAGGCGACGAUCUGUAACUGGUCUGAGAGGAUGAUCAGUCACACUGGAACUGAGACACGGUCCAGACUCCUACGGGAGGCAGCAGUGGGGAAUAUUGGACAAUGGGGGCAACCCUGAUCCAGCCAUGCCGCGUGUGUGAAGAAGGCCUUAGGGUUGUAAAGCACUUUCAGUGGGGAGAAAAGUGAUUCACCUAAUACGUGAGUCAAUUGAUGUUACCCACAGAAGAAGCACCGGCUAACUCCGUGCCAGCAGCCGCCGUAACAC
rnacentral:rRNA from 1 species